AGGGUAUAGACCCGAAACCCGGUGAUCUAGCCAUGGGCAGGUUGAAGGUUGGGUAACACUAACUGGAGGACCGAACCGACUAAUGUUGAAAAAUUAGCGGAUGACCUGUGGCUGGGGGUGAAAGGCCAAUCAAACCGGGAGAUAGCUGGUUCUCCCCGAAAGCUAUUUAGGUAGCGCCUCGUGAAUUCAUCUCCGGGGGUAGAGCACUGUUUCGGCUAGGGGGCCAUCCCGGCUUACCAACCCGAUGCAAACUGCGAAUACCGGAGAAUGUUAUCACGGGAGACACACGGCGGGUGCUAACGUCCGUCGUGAAGAGGGAAACAACCCAGACCGCCAGCUAAGGUCCCAAAGUCAUGGUUAAGUGGGAAACGAUGUGGGAAGGCCCAGACAGCCAGGAUGUUGGCUUAGAAGCAGCCAUCAUUUAAAGAAAGCGUAAUAGCUCACUGGUCGAGUCGGCCUGCGCGGAAGAUGUAACGGGGCUAAACCAUGCACCGAAGCUGCGGCAGCGACACUUUAGUGUUGUUGGGUAGGGGAGCGUUCUGUAAGCCGUUGAAGGUGUCCUGUGAGGGGUGCUGGAGGUAUCAGAAGUGCGAAUGCUGACAUAAGUAACGAUAAAGCGGGUGAAAAGCCCGCUCGCCGGAAGACCAAGGGUUCCUGUCCAACGUUAAUCGGGGCAGGGUGAGUCGACCCCUAAGGCGAGGCCGAAAGGCGUAGUCGAUGGGAAACGGGUUAAUAUUCCCGUACUUGGUGUUACUGCGAAGGGGGGACGGAGAAGGCUAUGUUGGCCGGGCGACGGUAGUCCCGGUUUAAGCGUGUAGGUGUGUGUUCCAGGUAAAUCCGGUUCACUUUAACACUGAGGCGUGAUGACGAGGCACCACGGUGCUGAAGCAACAAAUGCCCUGCUUCCAGGAAAAGCCUCUAAGCAUCAGGUAACAUCAAAUCGUACCCCAAACCGACACAGGUGGUCAGGUAGAGAAUACCAAGGCGCUUGAGAGAACUCGGGUGAAGGAACUAGGCAAAAUGGUGCCGUAACUUCGGGAGAAGGCACGCUGACACGUAGGUGAAGUGAUUUACUCACGGAGCUGAAGUCAGUCGAAGAUACCAGCUGGCUGCAACUGUUUAUUAAAAACACAGCACUGUGCAAACACGAAAGUGGACGUAUACGGUGUGACGCCUGCCCGGUGCCGGAAGGUUAAUUGAUGGGGUCAGCGCAAGCGAAGCUCCUGAUCGAAGCCCCGGUAAACGGCGGCCGUAACUAUAACGGUCCUAAGGUAGCGAAAUUCCUUGUCGGGUAAGUUCCGACCUGCACGAAUGGCGUAAUGAUGGCCAGGCUGUCUCCACCCGAGACUCAGUGAAAUUGAACUCGCUGUGAAGAUGCAGUGUACCCGCGGCAAGACGGAAAGACCCCGUGAACCUUUACUAUAGCUUGACACUGAACAUUGAGCCUUGAUGUGUAGGAUAGGUGGGAGGCUUUGAAGCGUGGACGCCAGUCUGCGUGGAGCCGACCUUGAAAUACCACCCUUUAAUGUUUGAUGUUCUAACGUGGACCCGUAAUCCGGGUUGCGGACAGUGUCUGGUGGGUAGUUUGACUGGGGCGGUCUCCUCCUAAAGAGUAACGGAGGAGCACGAAGGUUGGCUAAUCCUGGUCGGACAUCAGGAGGUUAGUGCAAUGGCAUAAGCCAGCUUGACUGCGAGCGUGACGGCGCGAGCAGGUGCGAAAGCAGGUCAUAGUGAUCCGGUGGUUCUGAAUGGAAGGGCCAUCGCUCAACGGAUAAAAGGUACUCCGGGGAUAACAGGCUGAUACCGCCCAAGAGUUCAUAUCGACGGCGGUGUUUGGCACCUCGAUGUCGGCUCAUCACAUCCUGGGGCUGAAGUAGGUCCCAAGGGUAUGGCUGUUCGCCAUUUAAAGUGGUACGCGAGCUGGGUUUAGAACGUCGUGAGACAGUUCGGUCC
rnacentral:rRNA from 1 species